rnacentral:tRNA from 1 species
AGCCCGGUGGUGUAGCGGUCAAGCAUACGGGACUCUGGAUCCCGUGACGGCGGUUCGAAUCCGCCCCGGGCUACCA